CAUGAUUAUAUCUUGUCUCAUGUGCAUAGUACUCUCUACUCCACUCACUGAGUAUUCAUAUACUCACUCUCCAGUUUGGUGUUUUUGAUUGCAGGACAGGUAUUGUAUAGAGAGGAGCAGGGUUAGAGAUUGCCUGCUAGCUGUGCCGCUCCAUAGUAUAGUAUAAUGUAGAUAGAGGUUUAUACCCUUUUGGUGUAUUAUAAACCUUCUAUUGUAUAUAGUGUAUAGUUACAGUCAUAGAUCCUGUUGUGGAUAUGGGUUUGACCAUGGAUGGAAUGGAAACCAGAUUUUUAUACAGACGAGUUAUAUGCCUGUGAUGAUGUAUUGAUAUAUAUUGUCCAGGUUCAUUAUGUGACAGAUUAUGUGAUUGCUGCUCUGAUAGGGAGUGUUGUUGUAUGUAUUGAGAUAAUCCUGACAGGUCACCAUAGAAAAGGUGAUCAUUUUGUGCAUGCAUCAUGCCAAAAUUUUUCAGAAUUUAUUGAUGAUUGAUAGGUAGUAGGGUUCUACGUGGUGGCUAGUGGCCUUAUGCCUACCCGCACCCUAGGACCGUCGCGGCGGCCCGCCGGAAGCGGGGCGGGGGUCGUGACAUCCUAAUCCAAUUAGGACUCUAGGAAUCCUUCUUCAAGUAGGAUUCGUAUUUUAAGUCCAACUAAUCAAUCCCCA
rnacentral:lncRNA from 1 species